CCUACGGGAGGCAGCAGUGAGGAAUAUUGGUCAAUGGACGAGAGUCUGAACCAGCCAAGUAGCGUGAAGGAUGACUGCCCUAUGGGUUGUAAACUUCUUUUAUAUGGGAAUAAAAUGUUCCACGUGUGGGUUUUUGUAUGUACCAUAUGAAUAAGGAUCGGCUAACUCCGUGCCAGCAGCCGCGGUAAUACGGAGGAUCCGAGCGUUAUCCGGAUUUAUUGGGGUUAAAGGGAGCGUAGGUGGAUUGUUAAGUCAGUUGUGAAAGUUUGCGGCUCAACCGUAAAAUUGCAGUUGAAACUGGCAGUCUUGAGUACAGUAGAGGUGGGCGGAAUGCGUGGUGUAGCGGUGAAAUGCUUAGAUAUCACGAAGAACUCCGAUUGCGAAGGCAGCUCACUGGACUGCAACUGACACUGAGGCUCGAAAGUGUGGGUAUCAAACAGGAUUAGAUACCCCAGUAGUC
rnacentral:rRNA from 1 species